AACUAUUUUUCUCCCCAACAGUUGACAACUGUAACGUAUAUCCGUACGAUGUAGCAACAUGUGAUCCACUGGUAUACAAUUACUUCAAGUGCGCGUGGAAAUCAAAUGGAGCCCUGAAGCCUGACAACACAGUGGACGAUGUGGCCUUCCAGAAGAUUUUGUUGCAGAACAAAUGCAGCAAAGACACCAACUUCGCAAAGGCUUACCCGACAUGCAAGAGCUCAACCAUGAAGUAUUUGAACGCGUUGCAAUUCAUCGCGUGUCUCGAUAAAGCCGUGCCCUAAGCAGCUCACUCAGUGGAGGAAAACCUACUGACACGGAACAAGACUGACUGAACUCGCCUUCACUCUUUCGGGAUUUUUUUAUAUUUUUUGGUGCAC